rnacentral:rRNA from 1 species
CUACGGGUUGCUCCAGUGGGGAAUAUUGCACAAUGGGGGGAACCCUGAUGCAGCAACGCCGCGUGGAGGAUGACGCAUUUCGGUGUGUAAACUGCUUUUAUAUGUCAAGAAAAUGACGGUAGCAUAUGAAUAAGCACCGGCUAACUCCGUGCCAGCAGCCGCGGUAAUACGGAGGGUGCAAGCGUUACUCGGAAUCACUGGGCGUAAAGGACGCGUAGGCAGGUUGGAAAGUCUGGUGUGAAAUCCUACAGCUUAACUGUAGAACUGCACUUGAAACUUCUAAUCUAGAGUAUGGGAGGGGGAGAUGGAAUUAGUGGUGUAGGGGUAAAAUCCGUAGAUAUCACUAGGAAUACCUAAAGCGAAGGCGAUCUCCUGGAACAUUACUGACGCUAAGGCGUGAAAGCGUGGGGAGCAAACAGGAUUAGAUACCCCUGUAGUC